UCCAGACUCCUACGGGAGGCAGCAGUGGGGAAUAUUGCACAAUGGGGGAAACCCUGAUGCAGCGACGCCGCGUGAGUGAAGAAGUAUUUCGGUAUGUAAAGCUCUAUCAGCAGGGAAGAAAAUGACGGUACCUGAUUAAGAAGCCCCGGCUAACUACGUGCCAGCAGCCGCGGUAAUACGUAGGGGGCAAGCGUUAUCCGGAUUUACUGGGUGUAAAGGGAGCGUAGACGGCAGCGCAAGUCUGAAGUGAAAUGCCGGGGCUUAACCCCGGAACUGCAUUUGGAACUGUGUGGCUGGAGUGUCGGAGAGGCAGGCGGAAUUCCUAGUGUAGUGGUGAAAUGCGUAGAUAUUAGGAGGAACACCAGUGGCGAAGGCGGCCUGCUGGACGAUGACUGACGUUGAGGCUCGAAAGCGUGGGGAGCAAACAGGAUUAGAUACCCUCGUAGAG
rnacentral:rRNA from 1 species